rnacentral:rRNA from 1 species
AUGGGCUUGCCUAAAUUUCUUGUCACUCUGCUACUGAUCUGCCUUCUCACCUAUGAAUCCUAUGUGGAUGCAGCAUCAGAAGAACAAGAUUUCUUAAGGAGUUGUUCAUCUCACAGGUGCAGCAAACAUGGACCUGAGAUCCGGUUCCCGUUCCGGCUUUCGAGCCACCCACCAUCCUGUGGUGCCCCAGGCAUGCAGUUAUCGUGCUCUGGGGAUGACACAAUCUUUGAUCACCAUGUUCUUGGCUCCUGCAGAGUGACUGAGAUCUAUUACAGGCACCGCGUCAUCAACGUCAUCCCGCUUGAGGAACCAUCAACACAAUGCCCUCUUCAGAAGCUCAUCUCAGCAAACUUAGCAACUGAUAUGUACAAACAACCUCAAUCAUUACAAGUUACGACCCUGGUACGUUGUUCAAGAGAUUUCACACCAGAGGAUCAAUAUAGUAUAGUAGGCCCAGCAUCUUGUCUCAGUAACAACGCUAGCCAAUUCUGGUAUAUAGCGAACUCUUAUGCAUACAUGUCUGACCUUCCACGGGAGUGCACGGCUGUUUCUAAAGGCAUCCCCAUACCCUUGACUUAUGAUAAAGAUGGCCCGAACCUUGAUGAGUACACCUUCAAAGAAAAGGCAAAUAAUUUCCUCAACUUUUGUGAAACAACAUUCACUUGGCACCUCAAUAACAUUACAGAUGUCUGCCAAAAGUGUGAACAUAAAGGUCAGCACUGUGGAUUCAUCUCACAAAGGAAUCAAGCUUUCUGCCAGCACCAUGGUGUGCCUGUCAUCCCAGUUGCAGCAUCAUCAGUAGCUGCAUUUGUAGUUUUUUCAUUGAUGGCGGCCACUGCGAUCUAUCUCUCCUUGAAGUCAAAGUACAAUGAAGAGAUAAAUAUGAAGGUUGAAAUGUUUCUGAAGGCAUAUGGCACAUCGAAACCCACAAGGUACACUUUCCCUGAAGUUAAGAAGAUAGCAAGGCGGUUCAAGGAUAAGCUUGGCCAGGGCGGAUUUGGAAGUGUAUACAAAGGUGAGCUACCGAAUGGAGUUCCUGUGGCAGUCAAGAUGCUAGAGAGCUCUAUAGGAGAGGGAGAGGAAUUCAUUAAUGAAGUUGCAACCAUUGGACUGAUCCACCAUACAAAUAUCGUUCGUCUCUUGGGCUUUUGCUCUGAAGGAACAAGAAGGGCUCUGAUUUAUGAAUAUAUGCCUAACGAAUCACUGGAGAAAUACAUAUUCUCGCAUAUUUCCAAUAUUUCUCAACAACUCCUAGCACCAAACAAAAUGCUAGAUAUUGCUUUAGGCAUCGCCCGAGGAAUGGAAUACCUGCAUCAAGGCUGCAACCAGCGCAUUCUCCACUUUGACAUCAAACCACACAACAUCGUGCUGGACUACAACUUCAACCCGAAGAUCUCAGACUUUGGCCUUGCCAAGCUGUGUGCAAGGGACCAAAGCAUCGUUACCUUGACUGCAGCAAGAGGCACAAUGGGAUACAUCGCACCAGAGCUAUACUCUCGGAACUUCGGAGGGGUGUCAUACAAGUCAGAUGUGUACAGUUUUGGCAUGCUAUUGUUGGAAAUGGUGAGUGGACGGAGGAACUCAGACCCAAGUAUUGAGAACCAGGAUGAGGUAUACCUCCCAGAGUGGAUCUACGAGAAAGUAAUCAGUGGGCAUGAAUGGGAGCUAACUUUGGAAAUGACAGCAAAAGACAAAGAAAAGAUGAGACAGCCGACCAUUGUGGCCCUGUGGUGCAUCCAAUGGAACCCGAAGAAUCGGCCAUCAAUGACAAAGGUGGUAAACAUGUUAACAGGGAGGUUGCAGAACCUGCAGAUUCCCCCCAAGCCCUUUGUGUCGUCUGAAAUUCAUACUGUGCCACAAAACACGAUGAACACAUGA